ACCCACAGAGUCAAUUCAACAGGAAACACACCCACAGAGUCAAUUCAACAGGAAACACACCCACAUAGUCAAUUCAACAGGAAACACACCCACAGAGUCAAUUCAACAGGUAACACACCCACAUAGUCAAUUCAACAGGCAACACACCCACAGAGUCAAUUCAACAGGAAACACACCCACAUAGUCAAUUCAACAGGUAACACACCCACAGAGUCAAUUCAACAGGUAACACACCCACAGAGUCAAUUCAACAGGUAACACACCCACAGAGUCAAUUCAACAGGAAACACACCCACAUAGUCAAUUCAACAGGUAACACACCCACAGAGUCAAUUCAACAGGUAACACACCCACAUAGUCAAUUCAACAGGAAACACACCCACAGAGUCAAUUCAACAGGUAACACACCCACAUAGUCAAUUCAACAGGUAACACACCCACAGAGUCAAUUCAACAGGUAACACACCCACAUAGUCAAUUCAACAGGUAACACACCCACAGAGUCAAUUCAACAGGUAACACACCCACAGAGUCAAUUCAACAGGCAACACACCCACAUAGUCAAUUCAACAGGUAACACACCCACAGAGUCAAUUCAACAGGAAACACACCCACAGAGUCAAUUCAACAGGCAACACACCCACAGAGUCAAUUCAACAGGCAACACACCCACAGAGUCAAUUCAACAGGUAACACACCCACAGAGUCAAUUCAACAGGCAACACACCCACAGAGUCAAUUCAACAGGAAACACACCCACAGAGUCAAUUCAACAGGAAACACACCCACAGAGUCAAUUCAACAGGAAACACACCCACAGAGUCAAUUCAGGAAGUAUAUUAUAUCAAUGUGUGCAUGUGUGUC